rnacentral:rRNA from 1 species
UACGGAGGGUGCGAGCGUUGUCCGGAAUCAUUGGGCGUAAAGGGCGCGUAGGUGGCGGCUUAAGCGUGCGGUGAAAGCUCGGGGCUCAACCCCGAGUCGGCCGUGCGAACUGAGUCGCUUGAGCACUGUAGAGGCAGGCGGAAUUCCGGGUGUAGCGGUGGAAUGCGUAGAGAUCCGGAAGACACCGGUGGCGAAGGGCGGCCUGCUGGGCAGUAGCUGACACUGAGGCGCGACAGCGUGGGGGAGCAAACAGG